rnacentral:misc_RNA from 1 species
UUUUUUUUUUUUUUUUUCCCUUCUUUAAAGACAGCUUAAUGCCUCUUUGACUCUCUCACUUUCAUUCCAUUUCUUCUUCCUUUUGGGGGUCUCUUUCUCUUUCUUUGACUCUCAGAUCGACUGUUUCAGCCCAAGUUUUCUUCUUCUUCCAUUUAGGUAAUCUUGGAGACGUAAAAAACAGUCAGAUCUAAGACAUAUACACAUUCUUUAGCAGCUACAAUGUCCUUUACUGGUACCCAGCAGAAAUGCAAGGCUUGUGAGAAGACUGUAUAUCCCAUGGAACUUCUAUCUGCGGACGGUGUUCCUUAUCAUAAGUCUUGCUUUAAGUGCUUUCACUGCAAAGGCACUUUAAAGCUGAGCAAUUAUUCCUCGAUGGAAGGUGUACUAUACUGUAAGCCUCACUUCGAGCAGCUGUUCAAGGAGACGGGUAACUUCAACAAGAAUUUUCAAUCACCUGCAAAGUCGGCUGAGAAGUUAACUCCUGAACUGACAAGGUCACCUAGUAAAGCUGCUAGCAUGUUUUCUGGGACACAAGAAAAGUGUGCUACUUGUGGUAAAACUGCUUAUCCACUUGA